rnacentral:rRNA from 1 species
AUUAAAUAGCUGCAUUUUGUACUAAGGUAGCGUAAUAAUUUGCCUUCUAAUUAAAGGAUAGAAUGAAUGGGUUAACGCAGAAAUAGCUGUCUCUACUCUACCAAUAAAACUUAAUCUAAAGGUGAAAAAGCCUUUAUAAAAUAAAAAGACAAAAAGACCCUAUCGAGCUUUUAUCUAAUGUAAUAAACAUAUAGAUUUUUGUUGGGGCAACAUGAAUUUAAUAUACCAAUUCAAAUAUAUACAAAUACCAACCAAUUUUAUUGAAAUUUUCUAAGUUACCGUAGGGAUAACAGACUUAUCUUUCUAAAGAGUCCUAAUCGAUAGAAAAGUUUGGCACCUCGAUGUUGGCUUAUAAUUUCUAAUUGGGGCAA